GCCGGGCCUCCUGCUCGGAGGUGACCGAGAAGGAGAUGAACCUGCUGAAUACGUGGAGAACGCCUGCAACUUGAGAAGAAGAGGAAAUCAGUUAAAAAUGAGUGGAGGAAAAGGCUGAAACAGAUUCCACAUACAGGAGAAACUUGAAAUACUUGUCUUUCUGAGUCUGGCUUACUGUGUUUAACACGGUGAUCUCCAGUGAAGCUGGAAUUACUAACACUGUGAAGCCUGGAGAAGGGGCCUCCAGACCUGGUAUCCAGGCUCCUGAGUAGGAGACAGCAUCUGACUAUGUAGCCCAGGUUGGUUUUGAACUCACAACCUUCCUGCCUCACGCUCCAGAGUGCUAAGACUACAGCACCCUCAGCACAGCAGCUCAGAUUCCUGGUGGAUGAAAUAGUGGUUCUAGGCAUCUUUUGCAGUUAUGACAACAUUUUGGGGGAAAGGAGGAUGCUUUGGUUCUGAACAUUAUUUUUAUCUCUAAUGGCUGCUCUACUGAAAAUGAUGUUGCUCUGAAAGCCUGUCUUCUGUCACAGGGAACACUACACAAUACUCUCUGGGAUGUCACACAGUUGACUUACUUUGGCCAUUUCUCUCUUGGGAAGACGUUUCUUCGUUAUUUGACCUUGAUCUGUAACUUUCUACGGUGUGUUCUGAAAUGUCAUUUUCUGCAAGAAAAGAAGAUCAAAUUACUGAUUUCUGAUGCCACAGAUAUCACCUACAUGUUGAAAUGAGUUCCCUGCAGGCACUGUCAAGGCACCAGAAGAGCUGUGGAGGGGAAAUGACGGCAGAAGAGAAGCAAGUAUUGUCCUUCAGGAAGGGACAAUUGAAAUAUUCCCCAAAGAGUGAUGGAGGAAAUAACUGCCUGAAUGACAGCGCACGUCGAGCUCAUGCGGCAGCAAAUGGAGAGCUCGAAUGGGUAGGAUUCUCUUCUAGUCGAGGCGAUUCUCUCAGCAUCUGACAGCCUCCCUCAGGCCACACCCACUCACCUUUCUUCCAGACCACGUGUGCCUUCCGAAGCUUCAUUAUAAAGAGCUGCACUAUGACAAAGAGGAUGAAGAUGAGGAAGGACACAAGUGUGAGCAACAGGAUGCCGCUUUUCUUCCUGGCCAAUCCUAGAUGCUGAGGCUUUGCUUCUCUUCCUUCUUGGUGAACCAUGGUUAACUGAAAGCAUGGAGAGCAAAGCCAUCGAUGAAAGGGGACUACUAGACGGACUACAAGCUAAAAUAAACUCUGUGAUUACAAAGAUGCCAGGAAAGUUGAAGAAAGAGGAGGGCUGUUGGCAAUGAAAAGAGGGAGAAGAUUGAAAGCUGGUCAAAUAGAACUAUUGGAAGCACAUCAUAGUGCCUAAUAUGGGAAAUUCUGAGGACACACAGAAUAAAAUCAUUACUAAUAGUCAAAGUCUUCUAACACAGUGUUUACAUAGUGUGAAUUUGGAAAAUUUUAUAUUUAU